UCCCUGGUGGCUUAAAUGGUAAAGAAUCUGCCUACAAUGCGGGAGACCUGGGUUCAAUCCCUGGGUAGGGAA
rfam:TPA: Bos taurus chromosome 9, whole genome shotgun sequence.